GGUGCUUCUCAACAGGCUACAUCUCGGCAAACUCGGCGGCCGGCAGGCGCCGCUUAGGUUGCCGGCCGCCCGCUGCGGCAUAGGGUGGGCUCGCGGCUUUGGCGGCGCAGCAGGCGUGCGCGCAGUCGGGGAGCAGCCGGCGGCGUAAAGGAGCUAAGCGCUCGCAGCCGCCGCUAUUGAAGGCGAAUGCGCGCGCGCCCUACCGCAGGUGCGAAACGAGAGGGGCGGUGGUGGUGGCGAGUGUAGAAACGGCGUCGGCGGAGGCGGGGAGGGGAGGGUCGGUGCGGGCAGAGGCCUCGCCGCGGCCGACGGGUGGUCCUAACUUGUGGUGCUUUAUGGAAACAAGGGUGGGUUACAGGUGGCCGUCCCCGAGAGGACACAGCACAAGUAGGUACCUACGUAGGUCGUCGUUCGUUCCUGGUCUUGUAGAGUAACAAGACCAAGUACCAUAGUACCGUUCGGGGUCACUGACCUGUAUACCCCUUCGUCACGACUUUUUCUCCGAACCACUAUUAAAGGAGUAGAUACGAUCAAGUAGUUUGUAGAUGCGGUUUAGAAAACUGCCCUAGUUACAUCGACCUUCCUCCAAUCGCUUUCUUCAGAACCUGCACCAAGUCUUCUACCGACCGAACUUUUUCUAAAGGAAGUAUCGUGUAAGAAACCCACCAAACAAACGAUCUAUACGAUAACGAUAUGAUAUAAGUGUCGUUCGUUUUCUUUGACCUUCACCACGAUCACAGUACGAGUGUUCACCUCCUAGACUUUAUAGUGCGUGAAGUCCUAAUCCACGGUAACGACCCAACCUCGGUUGAUUAAAAUAAUGUAACCGUUGGGGUGUAGAACCACAAUCUCCUUUUUUAGUCGAAGGUAAAGAAGUUCCCAACAGUUAAGAUCUCUUUGAACGUCGUGGAAACCGCGGGAAGUAACAGCCUGCGUGACCACGAGUUGAGAAAGAGUGACUACCACUUGGAUCGUUCGGUGGAGAGGAAGAUGAUUACUGUAGACUGGUACUCCUGUUUUUCAAGUAUAGACGUGAUCGUCGAAAAUUCUUGGCGUAAGACAUACGAUUACAAAGUAUACUGGUAUACCAACCAACCUUUUGUAGGAGUUAUUCCUCUCUUAACCUGGAAGCUUUCGGGAACGCAGCAAGUGAACUACCGAUGUUCAUGUAACACUUACACCUUAUGACAAGUGGACACAGCAGGCUACCAGGGGUAAAAGGAAGCGCCCGACGGUCUCGAUUUCUUCGACGUGUUUCAUGUGGCUUGUACCUUUUAUGGUUACUUAUAGUGGUCUACUACCUUCUCCUCUACUAAGCACCAAACGUCUCUCACCCCACCUUCUUUCAUCUACAGUUGAAGGUGCGCAGUGACACCGGAAUGAGACGAGUGUUGUUGUACGUACAAUUCUUACUCACCCAAGUGUUGCGACCACGACCACAAUAGCGGGUGCAGCGCCUGUCGUACUUUGUCUGUACAGACGGAAGGUUGAACAUUCUACAUCUGAACCCCACGACCGUAAGCGGUGCCAAUCAUGAGAAUAGUCCGUUGGAAACUCGAACGGCCAAAAGGAGGAUUCGUUGUCUCCCCAAAACGGUCAUAAGCUUCUAGGUUAGACGUCCUUAGUCACUGUGUAAAACAACGUCUGCCAAGCGUUUAGUCUACAUCUCAGUCCACGGUCGUGUUUAACUUUUACUUCUUUUUGGUGUGCCCCACUAUAAAAACAAAAGUCUACUAACGGAGCUGAACACGACCUUCGUUUACCAUGAACUUUACAUGGCGAGUGUAUGGGAGUUCCGAUGUGCACCAUGACUUUAAUUUAGACACGUAAUUGACUCCUCUUCCCCUUAUGCUUUUGGUAAGCUUACAACGGUAACAUGACUUUAACUUAGACAACAAACCCACGAAUACCCUACUGCACGUACUUUUUUAUCUUGUGGCUACCGACCUUAGUUACUUGUCCCAUAACCAGACAUACAACGG
rnacentral:rRNA from 1 species